CCAAUAGCGUAUAUUAAAGUUGUUGCAGUUAAAACGCUCGUAGUUGAAUUUCGGAAUUUGUCGGUUGGUCGGGCUUCACUGUCCGCACUGGCCUGAUAGAUUCUUACCUUCUGAAUAACCAGCAUGCUAUUAAUUUAGUGCGUUGGGGAAGCAGAGCUAUUACCUUGAAAAAAUUAGAGUGCUUAAAGCAGGCUUAUGCUUGAAUAGAUUAGCAUGGAAUAAUAAAAUAGGACGGCUUGGUUCUAUUUUGUUGGUUUCUAGGAUCACCGUAAUGAUUAAUAGGGAUAGUUGGGGGCAUUAGUAUUCAAUUGUCAGAGGUGAAAUUCUUGGAUUUAUUGAAGACUAACUUCUGCGAAAGCAUUUGCCAAGGAUGUUUUCAUUAAUCAAGAACGAAAGUUAGGGGAUCGAAGACGAUCAGAUACCGUCGUAGUCUUAACCAUAAACUAUGCCGACUAGGGAUCGGACGAUGUUAAUUUUUUAAUGACUCGUUCGGCGCCUUACG
rnacentral:rRNA from 1 species